UACGUAGGGUGCAAGCGUUUGUCCGGAAUUAUUGGGCGUAAAGAGCUCGUAGGCGGUCUGUCGCGUCGGCUGUGAAACCUGGGGCUUAACUCUGGGCGUGCGGUCGGAUACAGGCAUCACUAGAGUUCGGCAGGGGAGACUGGAAUUCCUGGUGUAGCGGUGAAAUGCGCAGAUAUCAGGAGGAACACCGGUGGCGAAGGCGGGUCUCUGGGCCGAUACUGACGCUGGAGGAGCGAAAGCCAUGGGUAGCGAACAGG
rnacentral:rRNA from 1 species